UAGUAUGGGUUCUAUAUUGCUUUUUUUAUCGAGUCGCGCAUCGCCGCGCCACUCGCGUCCGAGGAAGACACGGAUCCAGCGGGGCAGCGCCGCGGGUUUUUCCUGGAGAUGAACCCGCGAGAGUGGGAGAGCUCCGGAGAACAUCUACGCUGUGUGUCGAUGCACCUUACAAGAGAAUAAGACCAGCAAGCAAGGCAACUGCAAUGAAGCAUCAAGAAAGACAUGAGCAGGCCAGCCACCCUGAGACUGAUAAUUCAUGAGAAGACAUUUCUGUCAAAGUGGAUGGUGAGCAAAGAUGGUGGCCACGUUUUGGAGCAGCACCUGGGUUUUGCAGACGGCUAUGUAUUCUUUGGCUGCUUGUCUUUUUUUCCCCCAUUAUGCUUCUAUUGCCUAAAGAUUCUUUGUGAGGAUGA